rnacentral:lncRNA from 1 species
UUAAUUGUUAGUUAUCAAACUUAUUUUCAUGCAAAGCUAGUUAUCCUAGUAAACAUUGCAUCAAAUUGACUCAAGCCAUACACAUGUUUUUUAUUUUAGUGACUUUUGCUGCAAACAAAGAGAAGUCUGAGUAGUCAUUAUGUAUGCUUGUUAAUUUCAGAGAUAGAACUUUUUUCCUCUAGAAAUGUGUUUUGUGCUAUUCUCCAGUCAUAGUUAGAUGUUUCGGGGAUGAGGAGAGUCAUCCACGACAAAACUAUACCUCUAAUUUGAGGAUAAAGGGGUCAUAGUCAAGUAUAGUAACCCAACUCAGGUUGGGGUCUUACCCAUACGGACUACAAGUAUCGUAUCUCUCUUUUAUUGGAAUCAACAGGCA